UACAGAGGUGCCAAGCGUUGUUCGGAUUUAUUGGGCGUAAAGGGUGCGUAGGCGGUUAUAUAAGUCGGAUGUGAAAUACCGGAGCCUAACUCCGGAAUGGCAUUCGAAACUAUAUAGCUAGAGAUCUGCAGAGGUGAUUGGAAUUCUCGGUGUAGCAGUGAAAUGCGUAGAUAUCGAGAGGAACACCAGAGGCGAAGGCGAAUCACUGGACAGAAUCUGACGCUGAGGCACGAAAGCUAGGGGAGCAAAC
rnacentral:rRNA from 1 species